rnacentral:rRNA from 1 species
CAGUCGCCGCGGGAAUACGUAGGUGGCAAGCGUUGUCCGGAAUUAUUGGGCGUAAAGGGCUCGCAGGCGGUUUCUUAAGUCUGAUGUGAAAGCCCCCGGCUCAACCGGGGAGGGUCAUUGGAAACUGGGAAACUUGAGUGCAGAAGAGGAGAGUGGAAUUCCACGUGUAGCGGUGAAAUGCGUAGAGAUGUGGAGGAACACCAGUGGCGAAGGCGACUCUCUGGUCUAUAACUGACGCUGAGGAGCGAAAGCGUGGGGAGCGAACAGGAUUAGAUACCCGUGUAGUCCCUGUCUCUUAUAC